CCUACGGGAGGCUGCAGUGAGGAAUAUUGGUCAAUGGACGAGAGUCUGAACCAGCCAAGUAGCGUGAAGGAUGACUGCCCUAUGGGUUGUAAACUUCUUUUAUAUGGGAAUAAAACGUUCCACGUGUGGGAUUUUGUAUGUACCAUAUGAAUAAGGAUCGGCUAACUCCGUGCCAGCAGCCGCGGUAAUACGGAGGAUCCGAGCGUUAUCCGGAUUUAUUGGGUUUAAAGGGAGCGUAGGUGGAUUGUUAAGUCAGUUGUGAAAGUUUGCGGCUCAACCGUAAAAUUGCAGUUGAAACUGGCAGUCUUGAGUACAGUAGAGGUGGGCGGAAUUCGUGGUGUAGAGGUGAAAUGCUUAGAUAUCACGAAGAACUCCGAUUGCGAAGGCAGUUCACUGGACUGCAACUGACACUGAGGCUCGAAAGUGUGGGUAUCAAACAGGAUUAGAUACCCGGGUAGUC
rnacentral:rRNA from 1 species